UACGUAGGGGGCAAGCGUUGUCCGGAUUUAUUGGGCGUAAAGCGCUCGCAGGUGGUUCGUCGCGUCGUGCGUGAAAGACCCCGGCUCAACUGGGGAGGGUCGUGCGAUACGGGCGAACUGGAGGCCAGUAGGGGGAUGCGGAAUUCCGGGUGUAGUGGUGGAAUGCGUAGAGAUCCGGAGGAACACCAGCGGCGAAGGCGGCAUCCUGGACUGGUCCUGACACUCAUGAGCGAAAGCGUGGGGAGCGAUCCGG
rnacentral:rRNA from 1 species